AUAAGGAGUCAGACCUGCCCAGUGAAUUUUUUCAACGGCCGCGGUACUCUGACCGUGCAAAGGUAGCAUAAUCAUUUGCCUUAUAAUUGAAGGCUAGUAUGAAUGGUUUGACAAGAAUAUAGCUGUCUCUUUUAGAUUUGAUAGAAUUUUAUCUUAAGGUGAAGAAGCCUUAAUACAAUUAAAAGACAAGAAGACCCUGUCGAGCUUUAAAAAAAUUAGGAGGCACUAGUUAAUAAGUUUUAAAAAACUAACUUCAAAAAAUUUUGGUUGGGGCGACCGAGGAACAAACAAAGCUUCCUUCAAAAUAAAAAUAUACAAAUAUUGAUCCAAAACUUUUGAUUAAAGAAAUUAGUUACCGCAGGGAUAACAGCAUUAUCUUUUUUAAGAGCUCUUAUCGAAAAAAAGGUUUGUGACCUCGAUGUUGGACCAGAAUAUCCUAAAGGUGCAGAAGCCUUUAAGGGUUGGUCUGUUCGACCAUUAAAAUUCUA
rnacentral:rRNA from 1 species